UACGGGGGGGGCAAGCGUUGUUCGGAAUUACUGGGCGUAAAGGGCUCGUAGGCGGCCAACUAAGUCAGACGUGAAAUCCCUCGGCUUAACCGGGGAACUGCAUCUGAUACUGGAUGGCUUGAGUUCGGGAGAGGGAUGCGGAAUUCCAGGUGUAGCGGUGAAAUGCGUAGAUAUCUGGAGGAACACCGGUGGCGAAGGCGGCAUCCUGGACCGACACUGACGCUGAGGAGCGAAAGCCAGGGGAGCAA
rnacentral:rRNA from 1 species